AAAACUACCAUCAUCAUCACCACACACACACACACACACACACACACACACACACACACACACACACACACACACACACACACGAAGGCAGGCAUGCACACAUGCACACACCACCCCCCACAGGCACACACAGUGUGGCAAUUAACUUUUUCUGGCUGGGGGCAGUAUUGAGUAGUUUGGAUGAAUAAGGUGCCCAGAGUAAAAUGCCGGCUACUCAGUCCCAGUUGCUAAUAUAUGCAUAGUAUUAGUAUAUUUGGAUAGAAAACACUCUGAAGUUUCUAAAACUGUUUGAAUGAUGUCUGUGAGUAUAACAGAACUCAUAUGGCAGGCAAAACCUGAGAAAAAAAUCCAAUCAGGAAGUGGGAAAUCUGAGGUUGGUCGUUUUUCAACUCAUUCCCUAUUGAAGAUACAGUGGGAUAUUGGUCGUGUUGCGGGGAAUGAGUCAGAGGUCUGCCAAAAUGCCUUGAGCUCGUAACGCUUGUUCAUGUGAGAGUCGGCUUGAGUUCCAUUGCAAUUUCUGAGGACAAAGGAAUUCUCCGUGAACGCGCUUCGUGAGUUUGGAUUUAUUUACCAAAGGAGCUAUUUGGACAUAAAUUAUGGACAUUAUCGAUUAAAACAAACAUUUAUUGUGGAACUGGGAUUCCUAGGAGUGCAUUCUGAUGAAGAUCAUCAAAGGUAAGUGGUCUGUUAUACUCACAGACAUAAUUCAAACAGUUUUAGAAACUUCAGAGUGUUUUCUAUCCAAUAGUAAUAAUAAUAUGCAUAUAUUAGCAUCUGUGACAGAGUAGGAGGCAGUUUACUAUAGGCACGCAAUUCAUCCAAAGUGAAAAUGCUGCCCCCUAUCCCUAAAAAGUUAACAAGAAGUGUAUCUUUAAAAUGGUUUGAAAUACUUGUAUGUCUGAGGAAUUUUAAUUAUGAGAUUUCUGUUGUUUUGAAUUGGCGCCCUGCACUUUCACUGGCUGUUGUCAUAUCGAUCCCGUUACCGGGAUCUCAGCCCUAAGAAGUUUUAAUGUAUGGUGUAAGUCAAUGGCGUAAAUAAAAGACCAAAGGCUGUCAAUCUACA